rfam:Necator americanus N_americanus-1.0_Cont1.311, whole genome shotgun sequence.
CCAACGGCCCUCUUUAGGGCCACAUUCUGUACGAAUACGUGUUUUU